UCCAAGAAGCAGAGACACCUCCCUAAAAUGAGUGUCACUUUUCUGGAAUUAAUACAGUAUAGCCUUGUGGUGAAAGUAUUUUCUGCAAACAUGACUUUGAUCCUGAUCCUUAGAAAAGAGCAACACAUUUUCUGUAUUUUUGCCAUGAGGGGCUGCUGGCUCUUCCCAACCGUAGUCUAUAGGAGAAGAGCCACGCGUGGUAUUCGCUUAAUUUUACCUACCUUGCAGUGGUGCCACUUUCAUAGAUUUCUGAUUCCCGAAUCCUCUUCUGAUGAAAGGAGGCGACCCUUGACCCCCUUACCAUCCUCAGAACACCCCAGCUGUCAUGGAAACGUGGUUUUUCAGGCUCUGGCUACUGCAAGUUCUCUAGCCCCAAACUUAGCCAAAACAGUCCUAGAAGCCUCAAGAGGUCAAUCUGUGAUGUUCCAAAGAGCCUUCUGGACUCCUGCCAGGUACUGUCCCAAAGAGAUCCUCAGGACUCACUUCUUGGUCCCCCUUGCUCCCUUCUGCGUAGGUCUGCCAGGCCUGAUGCUUUCAGUGGACACGCCGUACGACUGUUGCAGUUGUUCCUAGCAGCACACCAGCAUUGUGUAUAGAAGAAACCUAGAGCUCCAACACCUCAGCCUUUCUUCUGUAGGCGCACAGUCGGAGGGGCUGAUCGCCUAAAUUCAACAACUGAUUUGGGGCAGGGCCGUGUUGGAGCCUCAGAUGGACAUUUGGGUUGUUUUGGAUUCUUAUGAAAAGUGCUGGGUUUCCUGGUGCCCGUGAGCUGGAGCCUGAGGGUGGAGCUGCUGAAUCCCAGGAUGCAGAUGCUUUGUGUCAGUGUUCCUGAGACGCUGGUGUGAAGUCCUCCUGUGACGUUUGGUCUGGCUUUGGCGUCAGGUG